GCAGCCGUAGUUCAACUGGAUAGAAUAUCGGAUUUCGGCUCCGAGGGUUGAGGGUUCGAAUCCUUCCGGCUGUA
rnacentral:tRNA from 3 species